rnacentral:rRNA from 1 species
AAUAUUGCACAAUGGGCGCAAGCCUGACGCAGCAACGCCGCGUGCGCUACGAAGGCCCUCGGGUCGUAAAUCGCUUUUCGGGGAGAUGAGCACGGACAGUAUCCUCGGAAGAAGGAUUGUCUAACUAAGUGUCAGCACCCGCGGUAAAACGUAGGAUCCGAGCGUUAUCCGAAUUCACUGGGCGUAAAGCGCAUGUAGGCGGCAGCACAAGUUGGAUGUGAAAUCUCCCGGCUCAACUGGGAGGGGACGUUCAAAACUGUGCGGCUCGAGGGCGGUAGAGGAAGGUAGAAUUCCCGGUGUAGUGGUGAAAUGCGUAGAUAUCGGGAGGAAUACCCGUGGCGAAGGCGACCUUCUGGACCGUUUCUGACGCUCAGAUGCGAAAGCUAGGGGAGCGAACGGG